CCAAAGUACGGAAUAGCCUCUGGAAACGGAGAGUAAUACCGUAUGUGCCCUUCGGGGAAAGAUUUAUCGCCUUUGGAUUAGCCCGCGUUAGAUUAGGUAGUUGGUGGGGUAAUGGCCUACCAAGCCUACGAUCUAUAGCUGGUUUUAGAGGAUGAUCAGCAACACUGGGACUGAGACACGGCCCAGACUCCUACGGGAGGCAGCAGUGGGGAAUCUUGGACAAUGGGGGCAACCCUGAUCCAGCCAUGCCGCGUGAGUGAUGAAGGCCUUAGGGUCGUAAAGCUCUUUCGCCUGUGAAGAUAAUGACGGUAGCAGGUAAAGAAACCCCGGCUAACUCCGUGCCAGCAGCCGCGGUAAUACGGAGGGGGUUAGCGUUGUUCGGAAUUACUGGGCGUAAAGCGCACGUAGGCGGAUCGGAAAGUUGGGGGUGAAAUCCCGGGGCUCAACCCCGAACUGCCUCCAAAACUAUCGGUCUAGAGUUCGAGAGAGGUGAGUGGAAUUCCGAGUGUAGAGGUGAAAUUCGUAGAUAUUCGGAGGA
rnacentral:rRNA from 1 species